rnacentral:lncRNA from 1 species
GCUGCAAGUGGCACCAAGUCACUCAAUGACAUGCAACAAGAACAACUGGACACAGCUUUAUACCUCCUGAGAGCAGUGUUAGGAGAAAGCAGGAGCAGACCCUGUCUUUAAUGUCCUGGUGGUGGACCAUUUCAAGUCCAUCCUCAAGAAGCACAUCUUAGCAACAGGGAUAUCAAUGAAGUUCUUGAGAGCAUCCCAGCUCUCUCUCUGUCUAAGAUGUCACAUCCCUCAUUACAUCUCAAUGUCCCUCUCAGCCUGCGCUCCCAGGCUCCAGAUACAGCUGCGAAGCCUCUAUUACAAACAUAUUCCUUUGCCGAUGCUGACCCCUCAUUGUUAUUUGUUUUAGACCCAGAUUGGCAAGUUCCCCCAAAAUAAACAAGUCAGUAUUUUGACUUAAAUUAUAUCAAAUCUACAGAUCAGUUGAUGGACCACUGCAAUUUUUAUGAUUUGGAGACUUCUGAUCCAGGGACAUGUUCUUUUAGGGAAGGAUGUAGAGCAAAAGAUAUGCAUAAACUUGUGAAACUUUACCACUGUUCAGAAUUCCUCAGAGAGAGAAACUACAUUCAUCUUGGAAAUCCAUAUUGCGUACUUUGAAGAACUGCAGUUCUUCUUGCAAACUCUUUAUUUCUUUGAAGUUAGGUCAGGAGAAUAAUACGGCAUCAUUCUGUGGACAAGCCAUGGUUAUUGCCACCAAAUAAAAUGUCUCUGUAUCAAGAA